rnacentral:rRNA from 1 species
AUUGAACGCUGGCGGCAUGCCUUACACAUGCAAGUCGAACGGUAACGCGGGGCAACCUGGCGACGAGUGGCGAACGGGUGAGUAAUGUAUCGGAACGUGCCCAGUUGUGGGGGAUAACUGCUCGAAAGAGCAGCUAAUACCGCAUACGACCUGAGGCUGAAAGCGGGGGAUCGCAAGACCUCGCGCAAGUGGAGCGGCCGAUACCAGAUUAGGUAGUUGGUGGGGUAAAGGCCCACCAAGACAACGAUCUGGAGCUGGUCUGAGAGGACGACCAGCCACACUGGGACUGAGACACGGCCCAGACUCCUACGGGAGGCAGCAGUGGGGAAUUUUGGACAAUGGACGCAAGUCUGAUCCAGCCAUGCCGCGUGCGGGAAGAAGGCCUUCGGGUUGUAAACCGCUUUUGUCAGGGAAGAAAAGGGCGACUCUAAUACAGUUGCCUCAUGACGGUACCUGAAGAAUAAGCACCGGCUAACUACGUGCCAGCCGCCGCAGUAAAAC